rnacentral:lncRNA from 1 species
CCUCUCUCCACGUCCACGGCGCCGAGUCUCGCCACGGUGGCGCAGGCGCCAGGGAGGUUCCCCGGCUUUGCCGCGCGGAGGAAGUCCCGGUUACGCAGAGCGCGCUGGGGCAGGGCUGACCUUCCCCUUUCUCUACUUCACUGGCCUCCUCCAGACGUGGUGGUUGCGCCCUUUCGGCCUCGCUUUCCGUUUUUUGGCUUCAUCCCCUAGAUCUGCAAACAGUUCCUCGUGUUUCUUCCGUUAGCCGGGAAACGCGAACUGCAGCGUUUGGGACCCGGGUUUGCGCGUGUGGAAAGCAAAAGGGGUUACUCUGCUGGAGUUCGACAUUGCAAAUAAAGGUCUUUAUCCCCGGCGGUUCUACAAAAUUAGUUCUGCAGGGAUUCUGGUUGAAAGAAGCGUUAAAGUGGGCCUUGUAGGAGUCAGCAAUAAUCCAAUUUUACAUGGGUGCAGGUGGCUGCCUGUGUCUAGCGCUUUCACACAUCUCAUAUCUUCAUCCACGCCGUGGGUAUUUUUUUUCCACGGUGUGUUUCUGUUGCUGCCUCCAGUAUAUUGCUUAAUCAUCCUACCUGGUAAUUAUUUAUGCAUUUUUCUCCUACUCUCGACUCAGCUCCUAGGGAAUAAAAACACAUUAACUUAUCUUUGUGCCCACAGCACCCACCAAGUAUUUCCAUCACGUAAUACUGCCUCUAGAAAGGCAGGAGGAGAAGCAGUCACGCUAAGGAUCUAGGCAAGCCAGAUCUUUUGUCCGGUUUUAGGAGGUGGCCAGCCCUUACUUAUUCCACAAGUGUUUUUCCAGAAACUCAGACUUGAUAUUGCCUCAAGUCCAAGGCAGUGUGCUUCCCCCACUCACAUAUCACUAAUAGUAGCUAACAUUUGUUCAGAUCCCUGUAUGUACUCUGCCACUGUUUUAAAUGUUACACCCGGGUUACCUCAUUUAAUCCUUACAACUGCCCUGUGAGGUAGGUACUAUUAUUAUCUCUACUUUGUAGAUGGGAUUCACCGAGGCACAGACGGUUAAAAAACCUAGCCCAAAUAACACAAAUAAACAGCAGAGCAUGCAGUGCUAGAGUCUGCAUUCUUAACAAUUGCUAUAUUCUCCCUCUCCGUGAAUGUGGGCUGAGAUGCUGAAACAGGCAUGUGCUGUGGGGGAGAAAAAGCUUUGUCCAACCAAGUGCUUUCUAAUGUCCAGAUGACAUAGAGCUAGGAUUUCCUAAUGUCUUUUUUCCCCUAUUUUUCUCUCCAUUUCAGGGUUGAGUUUGUGCAUCGAUUGUGAACACAACAGGCAGCAGGCUAUAAUGGUGGUCCUGGCUGGAGUAGUUUUCACAGACUUCAGUAAUCUGUGGAGAUGAACGGGCAGUUCUCUGUAGUUUUCACAGAUCACUGCCAGUUCGUUUUGAGGCCUUCAGGAGUGAAGACCUGGCUCAUCAUCACUCUUUGUUGUUUUGUUAAAUUUAUUUACACCCUACUUUAUUCCAGAGGAAAGGAUUUAACGUAGUUUACAUAAAUGUGUACAUCAGGGUAAAUUAAAAAUAAGUACAGAGAAAAAUAGGACAAAAGAAAACCGUGAGUGUGAAAGAUAAGAUUAAGCCAGCAGUUUUGUAUGCAAAAUGCAUGGUGUAAGGUCCUAUUGGUUUGCUGGAGGUAGGCCACACAUAUGACUCUCAGUUUUCUAGCAACCAAGAAAAAGAUCAGUUGCAAUCGGAGUAGGUGUUUUGGCUAAGCUGGAACUAGGACUUGAAUAUAGCAGCUUGUAGAGUUAUACCACUUGCCCAAAUCUCUUCCAUGAGCCUCUUUAAGUGUAACAGAAUGCCUGGGAGCACGUAAAUGCUCCUACUUAGAUGCCUACUUAGCCUCUAAUUUUCAUGGGGCCCAUGAAUCCCAUGAAAAAGAACUUUGAACCCUGUCCACAAUUAGAGUUCAGGUAUACGCAGACAUGUUUAAAGACAAGGGACACCCAAAGGAAAGAUUGCACAGAGAGAAAGUGAGCAUCCGAGAGAAAAUCACCACAAGUGAGGCAGAGGGAGGCCGGUCUCAGCAGAGUUUUGGAGGUCGUGAGAAGAAGAGGUAGGAGAUAGGAGAGUGGUUCCGAGUACUUGCCUGCUGAUGUUACCUUCUCCACCCCCACCAGGUUUUCCAGUGCCUGGAGUCUUGGGCAGGAAUGGGCCACUGUAAGAAAGAGCUUUAUCACUAGGGCCUCAGCCAACUUUUCUGUGGGAUAUCCCUCCAAAAUAAUUAAGAGUUCAGAAUGCUUCAGAUUUUGAAGUGAAACUGGUACAUAUAUUAAGUGUUACUUAAUAACCCGAUAGUUUCUAGGGCAGCUCACCAUAAUCCCAAGUAUUAGCCACCACCCUCACCCCCUUCAGAGUAAAAUGUGUUUCCUGAAGGAAGUUGGGAAAAUGAAGAAAAAAAAUACAAAAAUCACCUAUAAUCUUACCAGUCAUAGAUGGCAGUUUUCCUGUCUUAUUUCUGAAUAAUGGUUGUUAAACAUUUGCCAGCACACCAUAAGGCUUAGGGAGGCAUCUGGGUCAUGCAUGUUAAUAUCCUUGGGUAAUUCCAGAAAUCUCUAUGAAGGGAAACUCCUGUUAUUUAUCUAGACUUCCUGAUUGCAAGGGGUUUGGGCAUCAUGAUUUAGGGGUCUUAAUAAAAUUAUUAUUUUAUUUUUACUAAUAGAUAAUGUCUGUGCCUAUCAGAUAAAGGCAAACCAGUGCUCAGAGGAACCCAACCAUCUCUGAAUUGAGACCAGAGAGCUGUCUCUAUGGAUAGUCCUUAGAGAAGGCAUUUCGGAACACAGUAAACAGCAGCCUGGUGACUCCGAUUACAGGGCCAGUUGCCUUUGUUACAAUAAAAGCAAGUCAUCUACACAGGAGUUUCACUCGUUGCCCAGGCUGGAGUGCAAC